GACGAACGCUGGCGGCGUGCUUAACACAUGCAAGUCGAACGGAAAGGCCCUGCUUUUGUGGGGUGCUCGAGUGGCGAACGGGUGAGUAACACGUGAGUAACCUGCCCUUGACUUUGGGAUAACUUCAGGAAACUGGGGCUAAUACCGGAUAGGAGCUCCUGCUGCAUGGUGGGGGUUGGAAAGUUUCGGCGGCUGGGGAUGGACUCGCGGCUUAUCAGCUUGUUGGUGGGGUAGUGGCUUACCAAGGCUUUGACGGGUAGCCGGCCUGAGAGGGUGACCGGCCACAUUGGGACUGAGAUACGGCCCAGACUCCUACGGGAGGCAGCAGUGGGGAAUAUUGCACAAUGGGCGGAAGCCUGAUGCAGCAACGCCGCGUGCGGGAUGACGGCCUUCGGGUUGUAAACCGCUUUCGCCUGUGACGAAGCGUGAGAGACGGUAAUGGGUAAAGAAGCACCGGCUAACUACGUG
rnacentral:rRNA from 1 species